UGUCUUGGCAGGUUAGAUUUUCCUUCAUGCUAGUGGAAAGGGGAUCUACCAGUCCUGGAAACGUGGGCUUAAAGAAGUGAUACUUAGUCAAGAGAGGAAAUAAUUUUCUCAAUUUGUGAAACUAAGAAAUGGAAAGCCCUGAAAAAUUUAAAAAGCUGAUCAAGAUUGUUGGGGGACAGGGUGAAAGGAGAACAAGGAACUGCCUUUGAAGCUCAGAUCCACCUGUCUACUUCUUCUACUCUUCAUGCUUUUUCACUGGAGGAAAUCUAGGAGUCAUCCAGCAUCCAGGGAGAAUACUCAGAGGGAGGGGGUGAGUCAAGUGGACCCAACCCGGCUUCUUCUAUGGAGGGUUGAAGCCAAAUCGACCAGCUACUCAAGGAUCUGUUCAAAAUUGGAAGCAUGAAAUAAAUAGUACAUCCUCAUUGAGGAAGGAAGCAAGGGAAGAUGGGGUGGGAAAGAAAGUGUGGGGAACUAAAUCAGUGUGAGUGAUAGGCCAGGGUUAAGAAGAAAAAGGCAGAGGACACAGCAGCUGGUCUGGGAUCCACAGAUAUAUUCAGGAUUUUCCCUGCAUAGAUAGAAUUGCUGCUUAGGAAUUAUUUCUCAUAGUGAGCUAAUUAUUUUUCUUCCAUGUUAAUACCUCGACCCAGGUUUCAGGACAACUGCCUGGUGGAGUGUGAGCAGAAGGGGUUAGAUGGGUCUGCGCUUCUGGAGCAGGUGUCUGACUGCAGCAAUUCUGGAGUCUCUGAGUCUGUCCUGAAACUACCUCUUUGAGUAGAGACGGGGUUUCACCGUGUUAGCCAGGAUGGUCUCGAUCUCCUGAUCUCGUGAUCCACCCGCCUCGGCCUCCCGAAGGGCUGGGAUUACAGGCGUGAGCCACCGUGCCCGGCCGAUAGUUUGUUUUUAUUGCAGCUCCCACUUAUGAGUGAGAACAUACAGUAUUUGGUUUUCUGCUUCUGAGUUAUUUCAUUUAAGAUAAUGGCCUCCAGCUCCAUCCAUGUUGCUGUGAAAGACAUGGUUUUAUUCCUUUUACGGCGGCAUAGUAUUCCAUGGAACAUUCUUGACCUCCAGAUUAAAAAGAAGGAGAAAGAGAAGGAGAAGGAGGAGCAGGAGGAGGGGGAGGAGGAAGAGGAGGAGAAGGAGAAGAAGUGGAAGAGGAAGAGAAGAAGGAAGAGAAGGAGGAGGAGGAGGAGGAGGAGGAGGAGAAACCUAAAAGAUUAAUUAACACCAUGGAAAGCACUUUGGAAUUGCUUUCUAAACCUGCUAUAAUGAAAACAAAUAGACGUUUUGAUUAAAUGGAUAUCAUUAGGAUGGUAUGUUAUGAUCUUAACCCCUGGUUUAAUGAUCUUAUUAAGACCAAGAAAAAUUCAUUAUGGACUCUCAGAUCAAAUAAUUCAUUUUACAGAGCCAAGGAAAAAAGACUAUCUGUUUGCUCAGGAUGGAAAGACUGUCUUGAAUGUAAGUUAAAAAAAAAAAAAGAAAUUCAGCACUGAGAAGUGUAUAUAACUAUCUUUAUUUCAAAGAGGGGAAAAGCAUAGUCAAAGACAACAACAGUGAAAAGCACAGACUGGGAUGGAAAGAAUGUAGGUCAUGGAGGAGCUUUUGCUUCGAAUCAUUCUUUGCCAUAUUUUGCCUCAGCCCAUCCCCCCCAAAAUGAGGAACUGUGUGAUGAUGUGAUAGGGUGGAUAAACUGGGAUAAUUACAACCUCAUCACUUUUACUUGGAUUAAGCAAGAGGAUUAAGACGAAAUUGCCAAGGAGUUUAAAGAAGACAGAUUACAGACAGGAAAUCAGGAGAGCCGUGGUGAGUAACUGGAAGAGAAUAGCAUGAGAAUCAAGAGAAGGAAGUGGAAAUGGAAUGGAUCAAAAUUAAAUCAGGGAGCAUCCAUGAGAUUCAUAAGGAAUGCUACAUGCCACCAAGAGACAGUGUGUGCCCUCAAAAUGCUGUCAUUGAGACCUGUACUAUAAGGACUCGUUACACUGAGAAAGAUGAUGGAAUGUCUUUUGGCUGAGGUCUUCACCUAAAUAUUUGAAGAAAAAAAAAUAAACUAUUAGACUACUGAGGAACUCCCACUUGAAAGUGUUUAAGAUCAAUUCACCUAAAACCUUAAGGGCAAAAAUUUAACAACACUGCCUGUGGCUUUGCCAAUGGCAAUCUAUUUUCUGUGUCUUGUCAGGGCACACUGAAGGGAGGUUAUAGCUAACUGCUGGCAGUCUUCUUUCAUGUCUCUCUUGAACACAAUACUUCAAGCCAAACCAUUUUGACAUUGCUUUAUCUGUUCAGGCUUGACUACAUAGAGCAUUAAGACCUCAGCCACAUGAACAGGGAAGGGAAAAGAUAGAGGUUGAAUCAGGCAGGGUGAUGGAUAGAAAAAUUAGACUAACUGUAAAGCAGCCCCUUUAAAGUAGUCAACUACUGUGCAAACUUUGUAAAUUCUACUUGAUUAGAUUAAGAAUUAAUGUCUGAGAAUGUCCAAUGCAGAGUGAGGUCCAACCAGUAAAUUAUGCUCGAACUCAAAUCAAUGGGAUGCUGCACAUUUUAUUAUGAGUGGAAACAAUGGCUUAGGUUAGAGAGCAGGGGAUGAUAAAAUACAACUAGAGGAUAAAAAAUGAGUACAAUGUCAAAACUCUACCCUUUGAAUAGAGCAAUUAAUGAGGAUAAUAGCUGAAUCAAAAUAACUGGGCCACAUGACAGAGGAGUAUAUAAAGUUUGUGACCUUACGUACUCACAGAUGCUAAGGUUUUACCCUCUGGCACAAUGGAGUGGUGAUAGGUUCGCUGUCUAGAGAACUGAGCCUGUUGAUAUCUUUUUGCCCAUUUCCCAUCUAGUUGAGAUGGAAAAAGCAUCCAUGGGUAAAACUAGCAGGAUGGGAAAGGCGGUAGUUGACAGAACACAUUACCACAUUUGAUACAGGUCAUUGCCUCUGCUUCUUUCUGCUGAUGGGACUUCUUGUCUGCUAAACUAGACAGUCCCAUGUGUUGUGAAAUUACUUCUUCCAGUCACCUGUAUAUUACCUUGUUACCACUUCCUUCACAGCCAGGGUGCAGAGGGAUCUUCUGUCUUUCCUGAAGACUGAAUUUCAUAAAAAUCUUCCCAGGAGACCUUGUGGUACAGUAGAGAAAGCACAAGUUUUAGAGUCCGGCAAAAAUUAAAUUUCAAUUACAUAAAUGUUAUUUGGGUGCUGUGUUUUACAUAAGGCUCAGUUCUUUAUCUGUGAAUGGAUAUAGUAUUGUCUAUCUUAGGAUGCUAUUGAGAUAAUGAAAUGAGAAAUAAAACAUUUAAAAUCUCUAGCUCACUGGCUGACACUCAACAAGUGUGAAUUUCCUUCACCACACCCUAUAUCAUCUUUGCCCUUCUCUUACAUAGGGUUUCAUGGGACUCACCUUCUGCCGGUUAAUGUACUCUAUCUUUGUGGUCCUCCACGGCAUCUUACCUUCAAGCACAACACAUACCAUUGGGUAUUGUUUUACUCAAGGAUGGCCAGGUGUGUGCCUCUAAUGGCUCAUGGGGAAAAACAAUCUCUCUGUUUAAUCAAGGGUGUCAUUACCAACCAGAUGGUUGAAUAUCUAGAAUUAAUCAGUUAUUGGGUACCUGUAGAAUUUAAAAAACAGAAGGCUGCCAAGUUAAGACAGCCUUGACAACUUGUAUAUACCUUGAAAUUUUGUAUACACAUUGGCAGAAGUAAUACAAACUUUACAUCAUUUCCAUCUUAUUAUAAAGUUGAUACUAAUUGGAUCUCAAUAAGCCUUGACUCUCAUUAAACGAUGCAAAUAUAACCUACCUUUUCUUUCCCUUGACAAGGUUUUUUUUUUUCUGUUGUUUUUGUUGUUUGUUUUGAUGUGUUUUAUAUUAUUUUGUAUUAUUUGGUUUUGCCAUACGAUGGUUACAAACAGAAGAGGUUAAAAUAUUCUUGAAAAUGCAUCAAUAAAUAAUUUAUGUUGUCUUUUAAUCAAAUAACAUAAUGUAUCAGGAUGUUUGCAUUUAGAAUGUUACUGUGUCAUUGUUAAAAUAAUAUAAAUUUGCUGAUUGGUAGCUAUGUUUCAGGGAAUAUGCCAAGUCUGAGAAGAGGUAAUUUUUAAACAUUUAGGACUAUGUAAAAACCUGAGUAAUGCUUGAGAAAUAGUCACAGAGCUGGGCUACUCAAUUUAAAUCAAAAUAUAUGAAGGAGGUCCCAGAACUUCUUUUGAGAGGAGAGAUAAGCUAGUUUACCUACAGAAGUAGGCCUGUUCAGUUUCAAUGGAUAUAUGGUAAGAAACAUUCAGAGAAUCUAAAUCCCUACUAGAAGAAAAAGUAAAAAAUAAUUAUAUUGUGAGAUAACAGUAAGACAUAUGGGUAUUUAAUUAGGAAGCCUAUUGGACUGUACACCAAAGAAACCAGCCUCUCAUGGUGAUGGGACCCUCAGAAUAAAAUGAAGAGGAAGCUCUUAGGUAGGAAUAUCAUCAAGUUGGAGAAAUCAGCAUGGAGCCCUAAUCAUCUUACAAGCAGGGCUUGAGCCUUCUGAGAGUAUUACUCUGUUGUUCUUCCCAUUGAAAAUUUAAUGCAGUAUCUCCAGAGUUUCACAUUGACUCAGAGAACCCGCAAAAUCUCCUGGACUCCUGGGUGGGGUCAGGAUGAGACUUUUCAGCAAGAGUGAGCUUCUGAAAUUGAAAGGGUAUCAGGUGGACUAUGUAGGAGUUUAGUUAUGAAGCUACUGGGAUGAUUUCAGGGUACCUCUUUUCUAGAAGGUUUAGGAGAAAAGCAAGCAAAAAAAAUUUCUUGAUUUAUUGACAUAACUCCUAGGGACAAACAGUGUCACAUACCCUCUGAAUAUAAUAUUUAUGAAAUUCCCCUUCACAUUGUAUAGCGAUCCAUUAAUAAGGAGGAAAUUAUUACAUGUCUCUUCAUAAAGUG